GAUUUUAGGUGCUUGCACUUGAAAGAUUUAACAUUGAGACGAGUGGCGAACUGGUGAGUAACACGUGGGUAACCUGCCCUUGAAGUAGGGGAUAACACUUGGAAACAGGUGCUAAUACCGUAUAACAACCAAAACCACCUGGUUUUGGUUUAAAAGACGGCUUCGGCUGUCACUUUAGGAUGGACCCGCGGCGUAUUAGCUUGUUGGUAAGGUAACGGCUUACCAAGGCGAUGAUACGUAGCCGACCUGAGAGGGUAAUCGGCCACAUUGGGACUGAGACACGGCCCAAACUCCUACGGGAGGCAGCAGUAGGGAAUCUUCCACAAUGGACGAAAGUCUGAUGGAGCAACGCCGCGUGAGUGAUGAAGGGUUUCGGCUCGUAAAACUCUGUUGUUGGAGAAGAACAGGUGUCAGAGUAACUGUUGACAUCUUGACGGUAUCCAACCAGAAAGCCACGGCUAACUACGUGCCAGCAGCCGCGGUAAUACGUAGGUGGCAAGCGUUGUCCGGAUUUAUUGGGCGUAAAGCGAGCGCAGGCGGUUUUUUAGGUCUGAUGUGAAAGCCUUCGGCUUAACCGGAGAAGUGCAUCGGAAACCGGGAGACUUGAGUGCAGAAGAGGACAGUGGAACUCCAUGUGUAGCGGUGAAAUGCGUAGAUAUAUGGAAGAACACCAGUGGCGAAGGCGGCUGUCUGGUCUGUAACUGACGCUGAGGCUCGAAAGCAUGGGUAGCGAACAGGAUUAGAUACCCUGGUAGUCCAUGCCGUAAACGAUGAGUGCU
rnacentral:rRNA from 2 species